UGCUAAGCACAGAAGACAAAGGAGUAGUGAAAGGCUCAGCCAAAUCAAAGUCCAGCAAUGUGAGGGUGACACAGUCUAGCCAUGUCCUCGUAUUGCAACAUUGUGAGGGUGACACAGCCUUUCCAUGUACUCGUAUUUCAACAUGAAGGACAUUUAGCUGAAACUAACAAGGGAGAGAACUGUAGAUCUGCACCAGAACAGAGCACCAGCAUUGAUAUUGAGUUGGUCCUGCAACCGCACCAGUCCCGCCUGCAGGAGCCUCAGUCCAGAAUGACCCUUCCCCUCCCCUGACUUCUAACUCCUCCCCCUUGACCUCCUGCCUCAAAAAGUCAGCAUCGUUGAACAACACCAUUCUGCAGGAAAUUCUAAGCAUGAUUCUGCCCUUGUCAAGUUUUCCACACAUCAGCCUUGGUAGUUUUGUUAAGCUAGAGUUCCGCGCGGGCCUGGGCGGGACAAGUGUUACCGACACGAAAAGUUAUAGCAGUAGUUAUGGUAACGCUAACAGUCAUUUGUUGCUGUUUAACAUCACAACAAAUAUCAUGAAGAAUAUAAAGUUCAAUAACUUGUUCCAAUCUUAAUGGGACAAACAGAAAUUGAACGGGAGAAAAUCAAAGAACAAUAAAAGCGUAAGCUUUCCUAGUGGGAUACUUCUGCUGUUGAUAGUUUGGACGACAGUAGGGUUACGGACUGCCCCAGAUUGUCCUCUCAGCGGCCAAAAUAUCAUAAUAGAACGGACUUUUGGCAAUGUUACUGACAAAGAAAGGCAAUAAUGACUUGGUUGUGAAUACCCAGAGCACGAUACAUCCAUGCUGACAAAGAAAGGCAAUAAUGACAUGGUUGUGAACACCCAGAGCACGAUACAUCCAUGCUGACAAAGAAAGGCAGUAAUGACUUGGUUGUGAAUUCUCAGAGCACGCUACAUCCAUGCUGUGAAAAAGGCACUUAUGACUUGGUUGUGAAUUCCCAGAGCACGAUACAUCCAUGCUGCCAAAGAAAGGCAAAAAAUGACUUGGUUUUGAACACCCAGAGCACGAUACAUCCAUGCUGACAUAGAAAGGCAAAAAAUGACUUGGUUGUGAACACCCAGAGCACGCUACAUCCAUGCUGACAAAGAAAGGCAAAAAAUGACUUGGUUGUGAACACCCAGAGCACGAUACAUCCAUGGAGUGUGCAUCAGACGCGAAUACUGCCUAUUAUUGUAAACAAGUUGCUAAAAGUGAACACAAUGGUUUUGUUAUGAGCACUUCCCACUCCGAGCCCAAAGGUUCUCGCAUUGAAUCGAGGCAAAAGAAGACUUUGAUAAAUGAUAGCAGUUGUGUUGUAUGGUCCAGUAAUCCUUUCAACUCUCAACCUGAAGUUUAUCAAAACUCAAACUCAGCCCUUUGCAAUAUCAGCGAGGCCAGCAUGUAAUCUUAGCUUCUUGAGCUUCAGAUGAGACCUUUAAGAGGAGUGUAGUCUGUCGUACAAAACGUGGCCAUAUAACGAAGAAAUCAACUUAUACCGAUUCAGUAUCAGAGUGUCGAAGACUGAAUUCACCAUAGACGUUCAUCUGUAUUUCUGCAAUUUUGUCUAAUCCAUAGACAAAAUGCUUGAGAUCAACAGACAUUAUUAGCCAUCAAAACAAACGUCAUUAAAGUAAAAGUCAAUGACAAUUCCGACC